GAUUAACGCUGGCGGCGUGCAUUAUCAAUGCGAGUCGAACGGUACGGAGGACUUCGGUCCUCACGACCGUGGCAUCCGGGUGAGUAACACGUAGGUGACCUGCCUCUUAGUGGGGGAUAACCCCGGGAAACCGGGGACAAUACCGCAUACGAUCCACCAGAUCCGUCUGGCGGCUGAAAGGUGAGCUUGCUUGCCGCUGAGAGAGGGGCCUGCGGCCGAUUAGCUUGUUGGUGGGGUAACGGCUCACCAAGGCGAUGAUCGGUAGCUGGUCUGAGAGGAUGAGCAGCCACACUGGGACUGAGACACGGCCCAGACUCCUACGGGAGGCAGCAGUAGGGAAUCUUCCGCAAUGGACGAAAGUCUGACGCAGCGACGCCGCGUGGGGGAAGAAGGCCUUAGGGUUGUAAACUCCUUUAGUACGGGAAGAAGCCUUCGGGUGACGGUACCGUAAGAAUAAGCCACGGCUAACUCUGUG
rnacentral:rRNA from 1 species